UGAAGUGGGCCAUGCUUGCAUCAGGAGAGGAGAAACUGCACUGAGCUCAAGCCCCAGGAGCAGGCAAAGCUUCCGGCAGAUGACCAGGUGGCUGGCUUGGUGCUGCAGCCGUGUCAGUUUUGGAGCUCUUCUCCUUUUAUGUCUCAGGGCACAGCAAGAAAAUGUCUUCUGUAAAUCAGGAAAUGGGCCUCACAGGACACUAAAUCACUACAUCUGACACCCUGAUCAUGGACUCUGCAGCCUCCACAACGUUCUUUCUUCUGUCUGCAAUGAAUGGAGGAUGAAGAAAUGACACUGAAUAUGUCAAAUACAAUUGGACAUUAGUCUUGCUAAGUUACCAAGUUGCCAAGUCUGAGCUCCAACUUGUGACUCCCCUGCCUCAGUGUGUCAGAGUGCUGGGAUUUCAGGCAUGCACCACCUUCGUGGGCUUCUAACCAAAACAGCAUGGAAGGAGUGAACCCCAGACGCAGAGAUUCAAAAAAAGCACCAGCAUAUUAAAGGCUCUGAGAUAUCUGGCAGUAAUGAAAACUACUCAUCUGCUUUAACCCAAUGUUUUCAAAUUAUAUUAUAAAGGAAUUCUUUCUUCACAUAAUAUUUAUGACCAUCUCUUGAAAUCACUCUUCUGUGGGAAAAACACUUGGGAAAGAUGACUCCACUGAAAUUCCUCUUCCAAGUUGUACAUGUAACGUUUUGACAGGUCUUGUUUUUCUGCCAACUCUACUCCCUGCUGUGGAUGUGCUGUGAAAUGU